GAGUAGGGGCGCUGACUUUUAGGACCAGCCAUUUGAGUCAAGCUGGAGACGACGUCUUAGAACCUAGGAUGAGUCUCGUUUGGUUUUAGUCUGCAAAGCUCGUCUGCAUCAGACAGGAAUUUUCCCCAGACGCGGGUGCACGUGAAUUAAUUCAUCAGAAGGCGGUUCACGGCCUGAGUGAGGGGGACGAGGGCGGCGAAUUCCUCCGCCUCAUUCCUACCCUGACGAUUCGAGCGUUAAAUAACUUUGCGCCGGAUUCGGUGGCUGCAGCAGGGAACGCGCUCCGGGCGCCGGGGGAGGUGGAGGGACGCCCUGAGAACGCACCUCCGUCCCUGUCACCAGCCUUAGCAAGUUCUGGCCUGUGGAGCCGUCAUCCAGAGCGCACAGCUUCAUGCCCUUGAAGGGCGCAGUGUGUCCCGUGGUGCCCGGUGGGCCCGGACAGAGACCCCAGAGGCUCUGUCUGAAGGAAGCUGCACCCACAGACUCCAUCCAGGCAGCGCGGGCGCGGUCCUGUCGCCUACCUUUCUCGGAAGCCAUCUGCCCAUGUGAAUCUAUGUGAAGGCCCUUCAUGCGCUCCUGGACAUCUGCGUGGGAUUUACUUCAACUGCUAUCGCUGCGAGGAGGACGAGCAUGUUUCACUGUAUUUUUAGCAGAGAGUGCAGAUUUUAGAACCUCGCGAACGGUCCUGUAUCUCCUGCACGAUGACUCUCCAGAACAGGAAUAGUGACCCUUCCUUUGCAUUUAUGGUGCAUAGGUUUUCAAAGGACAGUGUGUAAAUCAGCUUGUGUAAUAAUUGUGGCACCCACGCGCGCAA
rnacentral:lncRNA from 1 species